AAUAUGACACUUCUCGGCAUAGAACAAAUUAGCUCUUUAUUACAAAGGAUGAGGUACAAGGGUCUGAUGUUACAAAGGAUCACAUCAGCACGGCGACACUACGCCUGCUAAAGAAGCUCUAUGCUAGCAGUGGAACAACUCAUAGAAGCGGAAUACUUCUAGCAGCGAAACAACGACGAAGGUGGUAAACUCCACUCUGCAGGGCUCUGGCUGGGACACAAUCUAGCUCGCACGAACGGAAACCUUGACAAACCAUCAAUCAUGACAUCACCUGCAAUUUGGCAUGACACACCAGGUCAGUACAUUGAAUGUACUUGCAAGCUCACAACAACCAAAAGCAUCAAGGCAAGACAAUAACAUAGCAUUAACAGGUUAAGUUAUCAACAACUAUUAUGAGGAAGCAACUACUAAUCAUAAUAUGAUACUACUAGAAUUACUGCUAAACCACCAUCUCAAGAACCAUCUCACUCUUGGCUAUCCGGCCAAGCAAAUAAAUCACCUCGAUCACCUUGUGAUCAAUACCUCCACGUGAUCACUGCGUGACCACAUCACAAACUGAAUGAUCAUCCUCGAGAUGAUCCUAACAUAAAAUCGACAUCCUGCCAAACUGCACCUCUCAAAUAUAUCAACAUAUAAAUCACCUAUAGGUCAUUCCAUCAUGUGAGUGUUGAUCGAACGGUAUGACCUAGUACAAACUUGUGCCCACGACUGAGGACGCGGCUACAGCUAUAUUAAACACAAACUCUACAGAGGUUAGAAUAUUGUACCCACAUCACAGAACCCAUGGCCUCGUGCUCCCAUUUGGGUGGACCAACGGUGUUCUGACAAAACCGAUUUACUGCCAUUGCACUCUCUCAGCCACUUCGACCAACUCCCCUUUGGGCUCAGUCAUAGGUGGCCCCGAUGCCACUUUGGACAUCCAACAACCACCGUCGUGGCAAAACAUACACAGUCCCAAACGGGGACAAAGGGCCCUAAAACUACGGGCACACAAGGCUUAUACUGGCCUACCUGAUCAGGGUAGGGCACGCGUAUAACCUUCCCUAGUUGGAGGCACCGUUGAGAGGCAUAACAAUAGACCGCAUUAGGGCCUCCCCAUAAAGGCAAAUGUGGCUGCACUGGAAAAGCCCGGUUCAGUGGCACCUAACCAACUAAACGACGAAAUUUAUCCCCAAGAUAGAUCUGUGAUAACUGAUACUCCGAUAUCAUCUAUCAACCUGUGAUCCAAGUUAUAGAAAUAUUAAACAAAUGAUCCAUAGGGUAAUAUAAUCACCUGAUAAUAAACCCCAAGGGUAGCAUACUACUAAGAUCAUGCUGAAUCCAAAGACUAUGAUGCUACUAAUCCAAUAACAAUAUCAAGAUAUUAACCUAAGAUCCACAUGAUAGCAUCAAAUCCAAAAUAAUACUCCAAAUCACAAUACAAAUACUAUCAUGAUAAAAUAAUAAUCAUAGCCACUAUUAAUCCAAUGGUCACAUGUCAUCCACCAUCUGCAAAACAUUAGUCCUAGGAAUCCAAGCAAUACCAUGGCAGUAGCAAGAUCAAGAUAACUCCAAGAAAUGCCAUGGAUAAUUCAUUUGUAGCCAAUGCAAUAUUUUAAGAAAUUUAAAUUAAAUUAACCAUAUCAUUGCAUUGCAAUCUUGCAAAUGGAGGGUGUGGCUUGCCUGGGAGGGAUGGAUUCACCAGAAAGAAGUGCAAGAAGCUCACGGAAAGAAUCACCAGAAAGCGUUCUCUCUUGGAGGGGCUGAAUAAGGGCAAGGGCAUAAUGGUUAUUCGCAUUUGAACUCUUUACAUGUACGUACAAUUACAGCUUGAAUUACUUCGGAAUUUCAAAAUUUUAUAACAUGGAGAAAAUGAUUCCAUCAAAACGGGCUCGACGAGAUGAAGAAUUUGGCUUUGGAAUCACUUGAUUUGGAGUUGGGAGUGAAAAGAUAUGAUGGUUUGACUGCUAGUGACCUAUGUGUAAAAAAAAUCUUCACAAACUGGCCCGUGACUGAAAAACAAAACGCGCACUCGAGAAAAUACGCUUUCAUUGAAGUCAGAAUGCAUUUUUGGCCGAAGAAAACGUAUUCCGUGAAGAAAAUGUAUUCCCUGAAAUGUGUGUCCACGUAUCCACGUCAGUGGGCCCGCGGGGUCAACGCGCAGAGGCUGAUGAGCGGGACCCACUGGCAGGGGGUCAUCUUUGUCUUCUUCUCAUGCCCGACGGGGCUGAGCAGAGGGCUCGGCGCCAGGGGCCGUCCCGGCGCCACCGGCCACCUCCGGCGACGCUCCAUCCACCGGAGUGACCUGGGGGAAGAGCCGCGUCAUCAUUCCCAUCCACGGCUGGUGGAGUGGAUUGAGACGACGAUGGGCUCAACGUCGGCGGACAGGAGCUUCGGGUGAGGUAGAGCCGGUUGCUACAGUGGUGGGGAAGAGACGAGGAGAGGUGGGAGAGCUCCGCCAUGGCCGAGGUGCUACUCUGGAGAUGAAAUGAGGAGGAGAGGAGGUCCAGCUUGCGCGGAUUUGAGCAAAGGCCGGUGGCGAGGUUCCGACCAUGGAAGGGGCAGGAGGAGCUUGGGCGAUGAUUUGAGAGGUCCGGGUGGCUACUGGGAGUGAUAGGGAGUGGCUGGUGAGGAGGGGCGAGGGUGGGAGCCAGUUAAAUAGGCGGGGAGGAGGGUCACAGCCUCGGGUGCCGCCAAGGGCGCGCUAGCCAGCUCUGGCGAUGGCGUUUAGCUACACGGGGAGGACGGGGACGACGGGAGAGGGCACAUGAGGGUCACGGAGCACUAGACGACGCCAGGGACAGGGGAAGAAAAAACGGGGUGCGGACAGAGCCAUGUCGGCCACAAUGCGCCUGUGGGUGCGCGGCGGCAAGCGCCGACGAGGAAACUGCCGGAGGUGCAACAGGGUCAGAGAGCGUCGUGAGGUAGCAGGGAGUCAGGUCAGCAACCACGGACACGCGGACACAGCCGGAGCAAUGCUACUCGACGCGGUCAGUGGCACAGAGCAUGGCCGCAACAGCCAGAGCGCGUGACCAGUCGUGCCAGACUCGUAGUCAUCAUGGGACAAGGCAAAGAGAGGUCACAAGAGGUAGGAAAACUAUGUCUAGCAUGUUGUCCUUCCAUCCUGGAGACUAUGGGAAGUGAAAACGCGAGAGAAGAGGCUCUGUAGCAAAGUGAGGCAUCGAUGGAAGUUUGUUGUAGUAAACUUGGCUGCGAUGCUGUGCUCAACAAAGAGGGGCUAGAGGCGAAAUAUGAUGUCUGGGGUGUUUAGGUUAAGAAGGACUAUCAUCUUGUAGAAUUAGAGAAUAAAUGGACCAAGAAACAACAGAGUUGCUUUGCAACUGCCAAUUGGGUCCAAAAACUUGAUCAGGAUGGGGCACUCACAUGGAGUAGCCACUUGAGCUGAACUUUGAAAAUGCCUAAUGAUUUGGACAUAUAAUGAUCUUGUAAAAAUUCAUACCAAAUGGACUUGCCAAAAUGGUACUUUUUUCACAGAGAUCCUCUCUGUCCAGAAACUUGUAAUAAUUUUGGAGAGAAAAUGGAUUGUUGAAAUGAUCCCAAAUUUGGUGGAGAGUAUUUAUAUGGGUAGGAUCACGAUAUUUUAAUUUUUCAGAAUUAAUGAAGAAAUAUAAAUUAUACUUGCUUUACAACCUGAAAAUAUAAACAGAAUCAAAGAUUUGAAGGUGUGCUCUCAUGGUUGAUUGGAUGAGGCUGAAAAUUGAUGUAGAGUGAUUAUAUGAGCACAUGAAGAGGCAUGCAAAAUUUCAACUCAUUUGGGUACUCCUAGCUAGUACUUCCUUCAACAAGGCUUCUGUCUGACAGAAACUUGGAAAGAUCACUGAGGAAGUGUCACUAGGCAAAUGGAGCUAAAGUUUGGCAUGAGGCAAAUAUUUGGAUGUAAGAUCAUACCCAAAAAUUUUGGGAGCAAACAAGAAAGGAUAGGUGGCACUUCCUUCACAAAAGACCACUCUCGACAGAAAUGAAGAAAUAAUAUUGGGGAAUUAUUUUGGGGCCAAGACAUGAAAGUUUGGACAUAUUUGGGGCUUAUAUGAUAUAAACAAUUUAUAAGAAUUAUUUGGAAAUUUUGGGAGUGACAUAAAUAUAGGUCAAAUAGGGUUAUUCCUUUAAUAGAAAAAGGAGUAUUAUUGAGAAAAAGAAUUUUAGGGUUGGCUAGAAUAGAAAUGACAUGAUCUUGGGAAAGUUUUGAGAAUGAUGAGCCACUUGGGAGAAGAAAUGAGCAUGAUCUCCCCGGUUUCAAGUCCACAAAUCCAAUCCAAAAAUAAAAUCAGAGCAAAAACCAAAUAAAUCAAAAAGAAAAAGAAAGGGCUAAAAACCAGGUUGUUACAAACCUCCCCCCUUAAAGAAAUCUCGUCCUCGAGAUUUGGUUACCCAGGGAACAAGUAUGACUUGAGGGCACUGUUUCCAAUUCGGGUAUCUAUUUUCCUUUGCUUAUUGUUCCUUCAGGAAUUUCAUAUCUACUUACCUUGCUUUGGGGUGGUUUGAUUCACCUUUUGAAAUUCUGACAGGUUUUUCCUCAUGUCCCAAAUCCUUUUGCUAACGUUGAUUCUCUCAUAUCUGUGGUGAUAUCCAAUGAAUCCGAGCAUAAAUUUCCCUUUGGUCAUGAAAACAUUUUUACUUCUGCCAUGUGGUUUGCUCAAAAAAAUGCAUGUCUUCUGGGUUCAAUAAAUGCUAAGAAUCAUGGCCAUUCUCCUAACAGGAUCUGACUGCUCAUAGGUGGUGCUGACUUAUCUUGUUUUGUUUCUUUGGCUCGAGCAUGCGACAUGGACCAAAUACUUGACUGCCUUCUAUCGUGAGCAAUAUAAAAGGGGUAUGGAUUUAUAGCUGUAGCAUACCUCAAACAUUAGCAUCUUGAGACUGGCCUGACAGGGGUGUUGGCGGGAAGAUACUUUUCAUGACAAGAUGUUUGUGUUCUUGGUUCCACCAGCGAGUAUACCUAGUUUGAACAGAUUGUUCGGCUUUUGAUUUACCCAUGUUAUCGAUGUACCCAUUUGUGGUAAUAGGUUGUGAGAUGUUUUACACUGUCGUUGAAUUCAAACUGCUGAGGUUGCAAAGGAAUCUUGGAAUCUGACAGAACAGACUCGAUAUUCUGCACUAACCAGUUGGGGUAGGUGCUUUGGGGGCACACGGGUCAGCGGGAUAUGAAGUCCUUGUAGAACAUAGUAGGCCUCUAAGGGUAUGUCUUUGUGGAUCCAUAUGGCAUCAUGGCUUCCAACUGACUUCGGUAUCCGGACCCUAAUGGUCACGCAAAAAUCAUCAUGCCUUUGUUGUCAGUAUCACCCUUUGACGAUCAUGAUUUUCUUUGUCAGGGUACCGUACUGAAAUAGCUUGGCCACAUAUGUCCUUGAUUCUUCGUACGACCAUGGAUGUGGUUAGUGCAAUAUUUUGGCAUUAUUCCUUUUGCUUGCUUUCUGACAAGGGUCCGCACAUAUAUGACAUAUAUAUACUCGGGGCUUGUAGCUGUACAGAGCUCAUUGUUGAGGUCGUUCAUACAAGAAGAUGACAAGAGUUCGGGAUAUCACCUUGUCGGGUGAGGGAAUAAUGAAUUUGGUAGCCAUUGUCAAGACUAUUGAUUCUGCGUUGUCAGCUCCAGAAAUUGUCGAUCCUUGCAUUACAUGAGAUAUGUGUCUACUUAUCUUCAUUGGCAUGACUCAUCAGGUUGUUGAAUCCUUACCUUUCUUAGGUAUAUCUGCUUGAUCAUUGUCGUAUCUCAUAUGAGUGACUGAUAUGACCGGGGAUGCAUGCCCACCAUAUAUCUAAGAAUCAUAUGCAACCGAACACUCGAUUCUUGGGGUAGGCAUAUGUCUUGACUGAGUGAUACUUCUAACCAAAAUGUUGCGGAUCUGAUUCUUGAAUUGCGCUGUCAUAUACUGCCAACUCAUAGUGUAAUACCUGAUGAUGGUGCGUAGUGUUGUACUGACGCAGUCUUGGUGUCUUAUGUGGGAAGCCAUCCGAGUAGCUUGCCGAAGCGCCGCAGUGGCGUGUUGGACAAGUCUGGGUUCCGUACCUGAGAAGCUUCUCCUCUGGUUACUUGUUGAGAAAGAUUCAAUUCCUUAUGUCAGAAGCCUUUACCGAGGUAUCUUGCUAUGGAAGGCUGAGUAUCUUGGACCGGAAUCUAUCCAUAUAUUGUAUUGACGAAAAAUUGAGGAGCUUUGCACCAUAAGCUUCUUCCAAUAGCAUGUGGAUGAAGAAUGAGUUUAUCAUAUCCAAAGCUUCAUACCGUGAUAUGCAUACUAAAAGCCAUACAUACCCAUAAUAUUUUGGGAUGGUUACUUGCAUGAGAAAUAUUGUUUGGCUGUCUUCCUUGAUAAUAGCACAUUCUGGCUUUCUUUCGGAGUAUAACAUAUUUCAAGCACCAUUCAUUGUUGAGCCAAAACUUUGUAUAUGAUCCAUACCUUUGACUGAAAAUAUAUCUUUGAUCUUGCACCUGACUUGUCUUCUGGCUGACUUUUCCAUUAAGGUGUGAGGAUUAAAUACUGAUGUGGACUUGAUGUGUUUAGCUGAGCUUCUUCCAACUAUUUGAAAUCCAUAUUGCUUUUUCGGGUCCGGUGUCGAUUGAUGAGCGACUUCCGUAAGGGGAAAUAACGUAACACCAAGGGACCAAAAGAAAUAAGCAAAAGAAACAACUCAACUAAACAAAAGCACACAAAAACAAUCAACUCACACACAAACAAAGUCACAUAUUACUGCUAUUCACACAAUAUGCAUGCCUACUUAAGCACACAAAUCUCGGGGGAUCUCCGGUACUACGAUCUGACAUGCUCUGAUGGUGUGCACAAAGACGAAUCUAUGUGUGGAAGAGUUGGUGUCAACAUAGCUACACCAAGUGUUGGCUUAGCUAGGUAGCAUCCUUGACUGGCUCGGAGGCGAGGACGUACUUGGUAACCAUGUAAUAGGACAAGAAUGUCGCGACCACAUUAUUAUCAAGCGGACGGAAGGGAUCUGUACUCGUCCAACGAUCAUCUAUCUCUUGUCUAUCUCAAGAACCAUCUCACUCUUGGCUAUCCGGCCAAGCAAAUUAAUCACCUCGAUCACCUCGUGAUCAAUACCUCCACGUGAUCACCGCGUGACCACAUCACAAACUGGAUGUGCAUCCUCGAGAUCAUCCCAACAUCAUCAUCGACAUCCUGCCAAACUGCACCUCUCAAAUAUAUCAACAUAUAAAUCACCUAUAAGUCAUUCCAUCAUGUGAGUGUUGAUCGAAUGGUGUGACCUAGUACGAACUUGUGCCC
rnacentral:lncRNA from 1 species